GCCCGGUGAUGAGACCAAGGCGAAUACGAGCUCACGGAACGAGAGCUGGGUCCUUUUUGCUUUGACUGGCGGGUAAUCUUGGUAGUGCAGAGGAGGAUUUCUGCUCUGCUGUAAGGGCCUGCCGACAGCAACUUGGCUCAACCCAAAUUAUUCCUCUACAGUCUUAGAGGAGUCAUUUCUUGGGGUGAUGCUGACAGUGUGUUUGCGUGCGUGUGUGUGUGUGUUUGCAAAAGGCAAAAAGUUCACCCAUCCCUCUUUGCCGUUCCGUGAACGAUGAGUUUCUUCUUUGGUAAUCUGAGGGCA
ensembl:snoRNA